ensembl:snRNA U6 U6 spliceosomal RNA
GUGCUUACUUCUGUAGCACAUACACCAAGAAUUGAAGUGAUCCAGGAAAAUUAUCAUAGUUCCUGUGCAAGGAUGAUAUGCAAAUGCAUGAAGCAUCCCAUAUUAAA